rnacentral:rRNA from 1 species
CAGCCGCCGCGGUAAUACGAAGGGUGCAAGCGUUACUCGGAAUUACUGGGCGUAAAGCGUGCGUAGGUGGUGGUUUAAGUCCGUUGUGAAAGCCCUGGGCUCAACCUGGGAAUUGCAGUGGAUACUGGGUCACUAGAGUGUGGUAGAGGAUAGUGGAAUUUCCGGUGUAGAAGUGAAAUGCGUAGAGAUCGGAAGGAACAUCUGUGGCGAAGGCGACUAUCUGGGCCAACACUGACACUGAGGCACGAAAGCGUGGAGAGCAAACAGGAUUAGAGACCCCCGUAGUCCCUGUCUCUUAUAA